CGGCGAACGGUCGCGUAACCCGUAAGCAACCUGCCCAGAAGACCGGGACAACGUUUCGAAAGGAGCGCUAAUACCGGAUGUGGUUGCCGGAAGGAUCUUCCGGCAAGUAAACCCUUCUUCGGAGGGGCUUCUGGAGGGGCUUGGGGCCUAUCAGCUAGAUGGCGAGGUAACGGCUCACCAUGGCGACGACGGGUAGCUGGUCUGAGAGGAUGGUCAGCCGGACUGGGACUGAGACACGGCCCAG
rnacentral:rRNA from 1 species